rnacentral:other from 1 species
CGUCCUCUGCCGUGUUCGACGGCCUGCUCAAACAUUCGCCUUGUCCCUUAAUGACGACCACGGGGGCGCGACGGGAUCCGGGAGCGCAAGCCCGCCUCGCAGCGGGAAGCCCGAUGGACUCCAGACGUCCCCACUUGAACCCAUGGUUCAAGGUCGUUUGGCAGGCAUCGCCAUGGCGGAGGACGA